rnacentral:rRNA from 1 species
GCAGUCGAACGGCAGCACAGUAAGAGCUUGCUCUUAUGGGUGGCGAGUGGCGGACGGGUGAGGAAUACAUCGGAAUCUACUCUUUCGUGGGGGAUAACGUAGGGAAACUUACGCUAAUACCGCAUACGACCUACGGGUGAAAGCGGAGGACCUUCGGGCUUCGCGCGGUUGAAUGAGCCGAUGUCGGAUUAGCUAGUUGGCGGGGUAAAGGCCCACCAAGGCGACGAUCCGUAGCUGGUCUGAGAGGAUGAUCAGCCACACUGGAACUGAGACACGGUCCAGACUCCUACGGGAGGCAGCAGUGGGGAAUAUUGGACAAUGGGCGCAAGCCUGAUCCAGCCAUGCCGCGUGGGUGAAGAAGGCCUUCGGGUUGUAAAGCCCUUUUGUUGGGAAAGAAAAGCAGUCGGUUAAUACCCGAUUGUUCUGACGGUACCCAAAGAAUAAGCACCGGCUAACUUCGUGCCAGCAGCCGCGGUAAUACGAAGGGUGCAAGCGUUACUCGGAAUUACUGGGCGUAAAGCGUGCGUAGGUGGUGGUUUAAGUCUGUUGUGAAAGCCCUGGGCUCAACCUGGGAAUUGCAGUGGAUACUGGAUCACUAGAGUGUGGUAGAGGGUAGCGGAAUUCCCGGUGUAGCAGUGAAAUGCGUAGAGAUCGGGAGGAACAUCCGUGGCGAAGGCGGCUACCUGGACCAACACUGACACUGAGGCACGAAAGCGUGGGGAGCAAACAGGAUUAGAUACCCUGGUAGUCCACGCCCUAAACGAUGCGAACUGGAUGUUGGGUGCAAUUUGGCACGCAGUAUCGAAGCUAACGCGUUAAGUUCGCCGCCUGGGGAGUACGGUCGCAAGACUGAAACUCAAAGGAAUUGACGGGGGCCCGCACAAGCGGUGGAGUAUGUGGUUUAAUUCGAUGCAACGCGAAGAACCUUACCUGGUCUUGACAUCCACGGAACUUUCCAGAGAUGGAUUGGUGCCUUCGGGAACCGUGAGACAGGUGCUGCAUGGCUGUCGUCAGCUCGUGUCGUGAGAAGUUGGGGUUAAGUCCCGCAACGAGGGGCAACCCUUGUUCUUUAUUUGCCACCACGUAAUGGUGGGGAACUCUAAGGAGAACGCCCGGUGACAAACCCGAAGAAAGGU